CUGGGGAGUACGNCCGCAANUUAAACUCAAANGAAUUGCGGGGCCCGCNCAANCGGUGGAGCAUGUGGUUUANUUCGAUGCACGCGAAGACCUUACCUGCUCUUGACAUCCAGAGAACUUAGCAGAGAUGCUUUGGUNCCUUCGGGACUCUGAGACAGGUGNUGCAUGGCUGUCGUCAGCUCGUGUUGUGAAAUGUUGGGUUAAGUCCCGCAACGAGCGCACCCUUAUCCUUUGUUGCCAGCGGUUCGGCCGGGAACUCAAAGGAGACUGCCAGUGAUAAACUGGAGGAAGGUGGGGAUGACGUCAAGUCAUCAUGGCCCUUACGAGUAGGGCUACACACGUGCUACAAUGGCAUAUACAAAGAGAAGCGACCUCGCGAGAGCAAGCGGACCUCAUAAAGUAUGUCGUAGUCCGGAUUGGAGUCUGCAACUCGACUCCAUGAAGUCGGAAUCGCUAGUAAUCGUGGAUCAGAAUGCCGACGGUGAAUACGUUCCCGGGCCUUGUACNCACCGCCCGUCCCACCAUGGGAGUGGGUU
rnacentral:rRNA from 1 species